UUGGCAAAUUACACUGAACAAAGGUGUCCUUGUAAAAAAUAUUUUCAAAAUCUACUUCAAGAGCCCUGAGAUCCUACAAAUGACCAGAUAUGUGUAAAAGAUUCUCCCCCCCCCCUCAAAAAAAGAUUCUCUCUCAUACCUCUUCUCUACCCUCUAAAUAAUUAAAAAUGGUAUUAUUCUGUUUAGAGAGACCACAGAACAGAAAUAGCCCUGUUUUAUCAAGCCCAUCUGGAGAGAUGAACAUGCCUGCAAUCAUUGGGAGAAAGACAGGGAUCGAGCAGCGGAAAUACCACCAGCCUCCGCCAAACUCGUGAGGACCGAUGGCAGGGGGACUGGUGCUCCAGAUGUUGCACUAGAGGCGCUGCAAGUGUGAGCAGGUGACAGUAGACCUACAUCACAGGUUUAGCAGAUGUUCUCAACAUCUCUAUUGAAAUUUCCUUAUCUUCACUUGCAAGAGGAGCCCCAGGGCCUCAUCCCUGUGGCAGCUACAAUGAGCUGAUAAAAGCUUUCGUUCACCAGGGAACUUUGGCAAGGAAACUGGCUCGAUCAGCAAGUCCAUUUCCAUUGUGGAAAAACAACUUGAAACUCAUCUCUACGGAUGGGUAUAAACAAAUCCCAAAGUCACAGACUGGUAGGACUGAUGCUCACUGAAGGCAGAUGAAAGGCCUAACUGUAAGAAGGGGUUCCUUAUACUACAGGAUUAAUGGGAAAAACAUGAACUUCACAAUGAAUUUCUCCUAAAAUGUUGAUUUACAAUUUACUUUCUCAAGAUUCAUUUUGAAUUAUAGAAAUCAUCUUCUCCUGCAACCUCCUACAGAAGGAUUUCAAAAUGAAUGUACUAUCUGUGGGACAGGGAUAGGCUGAACACCCGCUUCACUAAGUACCUGCUUCACAUCACCUUUCACAUUUUCUAGAAAAACAGCUGUUGGAGAAUCAACAUGCUCCCUUCAACAAAAAUGGAAACAAGCGAAGACCCUAAGAAUGCCACCGCUGCCAGCAGUUAAUGAUGCCGGGGCUAUGCACGCAAGCUUCAGCAAAGAAAGUUUUCAAGACAGUGUGUGCCUCACUAGCCAGAAAUCAGGAAAUUUCGUCUCAGUUGCUCCUUAAAUCAGCACAACCCUUCCAAAUGAACAUGAAUUGAAACAUGCAUUGGCUUUUCAACUUAAUUGAGUAAUUACUACACGUGAAUCACUAUACGGAGCAGGGGAAGGAACAUGAGAGAGGGAAGGAGACAAAUGAGAUGUGGUCCCUGCUAUCCAUAGAUUUAUUAGUUUCAAUGAACAUUUUUGUGUGUGUCUUCUGUUCUUAAUAAGUGUGUCUCUAAGACAGGAAACAGAGUAUAUUUCUCUGAGUAUUUUAUGUUCCUUUAAUAAAAAAACAAAACAAAACUUCUAAUGUGAACAAUUCAGGACAUCUUAAUUCCAUUUCUUUUUGGACCUUAAUUCCAUUUCUUUUUGGACUUCUGAUAGGUAGGAUCCUUUUUGUUGAUUUCAAAAAUGUUCUGUAGACUUUAGAGAUAUCAACACAUUAUAGUUGGAGUUAACUUGAAUUAAAUUCCUUUUUCCCUGUAGGUGUAGAGUGUCUGUUGGAAAACUAUAUUAUGUUUGUACAUUGGUGGGGAGUGGGUGAGGGAAUCACAUCUGUUUCAAUAGGCCUCUACCUUGAAUGCCUAGGGGCCUGCCGUCCUGAGUGAAUUAUUAGCAUGGAGGAGGGGAAGGUUUGGAUCAAGCUUGGGGUCCUUACUCAUGGACCCAAGACAGGGCAGGACAGGAGCCAAACAGACCUGGAAAAUGGCUGUGUGUGAAAAUUUGGCUAUUUCAGUAUUCAUGGUGUUGUCCUCUAUGUUCUAUAAGUUGAGUGACUAUAUACUUUUUCCAAAAAAUUAGUUCUGAUCUGGGAGUAAGUCAUGAUUUUUCCAGUGUUAAGACACUAAUAUGAUUGUUGACACUAGACAUUUUAUGUAGUGUCUGUGACACAUUUUGUUAUGUAUGAGCCAACAAUCGACAUGUCUUUGUCUUGAGAGUGUCCAUCUAAAUUGAAAAUGUGCCAGGGUUUUAACAUUAUCAACAGACUUCUUAAUUAAGCUGCCAAUACAUACUGCCAAUAGUACUGUGUGUCGUCUGAGAAAUGAAUUGUGUAAGUGCUGUUUCCCUCUUAUUGAAUAAAUAAUGUUACUCCAUA